AUUGAACGCUGGCGGCAUGCCUUACACAUGCAAGUCGAACGGUAACAGGUCUUCGGAUGCUGACGAGUGGCGAACGGGUGAGUAAUACAUCGGAACGUGCCUAGUAGUGGGGGAUAACUAAUCGAAAGAGUGGCUAAUACCGCAUGAGAUCUACGGAUGAAAGCAGGGGAUCGCAAGACCUUGUGCUACUAGAGCGGCCGAUGGCAGAUUAGGUAGUUGGUGGGAUAAAAGCUUACCAAGCCGACGAUCUGUAGCUGGUCUGAGAGGACGAUCAGCCACACUGGGACGGAGACACGGCCCAGACUCCUACGGGAGGCAGCAGUGGGGAAUUUUGGACAAUGGGCGCAAGCCUGAUCCAGCAAUGCCGCGUGCAGGAUGAAGGCCUUCGGGUUGUAAACUGCUUUUGUACGGAACGAAAAGCCCUGGGUUAAUACCCUGGGGUCAUGACGGUACCGUAAGAAUAAGCACCGGCUAACUACGUGCCAGCCGCCGCGGUAAUAC
rnacentral:rRNA from 1 species